AUCACACAGCACAUUUUCUCAUGCCAAGAUGCCAGGUGAAAUGCCUAAAUCUUUGGUAAAUCUAACACAUUGCCUCUGCAAAAAAUGGAUAUUCAAGCUUCCAAAUAGUUUUCUCCACAGAAACCUGCUCUUCACAACACCCGGAAACGUCCAGUUUUGUGAAACCCACUUUAUCAAGUCUGUCCACCUACAGCACGCCCACACAGAGGAGCAUCACAAGCCUGGCAUAUGCGAUGGGCACAGUGACCGAGAGCACCAGCACCCUUCUGCCCACUACCCCCUCCAGCACCUCUGUAACCUCCCCAGGCAAAAUCUAUCAUGAGAGCUCAUCAGGUGACUCACACCUGCUCCCAGUUGUGUUACCAGCUCUCAUUUUACUGAUUUUCAUCACUAUCACUAUUCUCGCCCUGACCAAAAUAAAGCUUCAAAAGGAGACGGGAGAAGAAAGAAGCGCCAUAGGAAACCUGACAGCAACGCCAAUUCGCGCUGAUCUGAACCCUGUAAAAGAGCAAACGAUGGAGCAAACCCCGCGUUCAGAAAAAGUGCACGAAUGCCGGACAGACUCCAGCCG
rnacentral:lncRNA from 1 species